rnacentral:rRNA from 1 species
UACGGAGGAUGCGAGCGUUAUCCGGAUUUAUUGGGUUUAAAGGGUGCGUAGGCGGGCUUUCAAGACAGCGGUAAAAAUUCGGGGCUCAACCCCGUCCGGCCGUUGAAACUGGGGGCCUUGAGUGGGCGAGAAGAAGGCGGAAUGCGUGGUGUAGCGGUGAAAUGCAUAGAUAUCACGCAGAACCCCGAUUGCGAAGGCAGCCUUCCGGCGCCCUACUGACGCUGAGGCACGAAAGUGCGGGGAUCGAACAGG